rnacentral:tRNA from 1 species
GCCGCCUUGGCUCAGCCGGGUUAGAGCGAUUCCUUGGUAAGGAAUAGGUCCCGGGUUCGAAUCCCGGAGGCGGCU